UAAGAGAGAGCCAAGAAUCUAGCUCAGCCUGGUGCAGAACUUGUAGGAGACUAGCAAAGAGCCCACAGGCCAGAACCGGGCAAGAAGAGAGUAGUGAGAACCUGUCUCAGGUGUCCUGAUGCUAUUUUGGUGAAGUUGGUAUGCAGGUUCCCUAAUCUACCUGGGUUAGAGGAAGGUCGGAGGUUAUCUGGUGGCAAAUUAAAGCCCAAGUCAAAGGGAAUCGGGUGCUAACAACCAUCUAGAGACCAGUUGGAGAGAAGUUCAGUGAUGUUUGGACACCCUUCCUAGGUUGCCCUUGACUGUGUUUUUGAGCACGAUGUGAUGGUUUCCUUGUCUUUAUAUCCUGACUACUUAAUAUAGUACCUGCAACUUCAAGAAUGUUAAUUGCAAUGAGCAGUGUAUUAAAAAAGAGGGGUACUUUGGAACCAUCAAGGUGGCCCUGAGAUUGUUGUGCUUGCUUGGACAUGAGAGAAUCACCUAGGAGCAAUGCUUCCUUACAAUAGAGUGGUAUUAGAGAAAUGGGCUUUCCAUGUAUUCUGUUCUUUCAAGACUGAUCCAUGUGGUACCAUGAAAGUGCUAGCAGAUGUUUGGGGAAGAAAAUGUGUAGUUCAUAUCUGCCUAUACACCAUCUUCUGUAACCUCACUUUGACAAAACGGGGUUGGAUUGUGGACACUGUCGUCUCUCAUUUAACAGAAACUCUGGAGAAUCAAAAGGGGGUGCAAUUGCUAAUUUUGUUGGGACGAUGAGUUAUACAUUUGGGCUGUCCUGGACAAACUCGGAUGUAUGGUUACCCCAUAUCUAGGGGCCUGCAAUGGAACAAGACAGGUAUGUGAAGAUAAAUUAGGAGAGAAGACAAUAUGGACUAUAAUGAAAUGGUUA